AGUGGCGGACGGGUGAGUAACGCGUGAGAAUCUACCUUCAGGACGGGGACAACAGCUGGAAACGGCUGCUAAUACCCGAUAUGCCGAAAGGUGAAAAGUUAUUUCGCCUGGAGAGGAGCUCGCGUCCGAUUAGCUAGUUGGUGGGGUAAAAGCUUACCAAGGCAACGAUCGGUAGCUGGUCUGAGAGGAUGAGCAGCCACACUGGAACUGAGACACGGUCCAGACUCCUACGGGAGGCAGCAGUGGGGAAUUUUCCGCAAUGGGCGAAAGCCUGACGGAGCAACGCCGCGUGGGGGAAGAAGGUUUUUGGAUUGUAAACCCCUUUUCUCAAGGAAGAACAAAAUGACGGUACUUGAGGAAUCAGCCUCGGCUAACUCCGUGCCAGCAGCCGCGGUAAUACGGAGGAGGCAAGCGUUAUCCGGAAUUAUUGGGCGUAAAGCGUUCGUAGGCGGCUGUUCAAGUCUGCUGUCAAAGACCGAAGCUCAACCUCGGGUCGGCAGUGGAAACUGGAUAGCUAGAGGUCGGUAGGGGCAGAGGGAAUUCCCAGUGUAGCGGUGAAAUGCGUAGAUAUUGGGAAGAACACCGGUGGCGAAAGCGCUCUGCUGGGCCGAACCUGACGCUGAGGGACGAAAGCUAGGGGAGCGAAUGGGAUUAGAUACCCC
rnacentral:rRNA from 1 species